UUCAAUGAAUGAAGAAGUAGUGCCAAUUGCAAGCAUUCAAUCCCAGGAAGACGGACAUGCAUUCUACAUUGAAGCAAAAAUAUCCUUGCCAAAUAGCCUCAAGUCUUUCUGUGUUUUGAAUUGUUCAAGCUGUGGACAAGAAGUACGCAAGACAACCAAGAGAAAAAUUCACCGUAUGAAUUGUAAUAAGCGAGUAUGUUGGUUCCCGUGUGUCGAUUUGAUGUGAAUCUCAAAGAUGCCUCGUUCCCGUAGAAUCGGGAUGAUUAUGGACAAAGAAGGAGAAAAACUAUUAUCUCUUACUGCAGCAGAGAUUUACGAAAGAGUUUCAGCUGAGAAUGACAACCUGCCUGUGGAAGAUUUCCAAAGCAAAUUUGACCAGAAGCUGUUCAGAAUUCAAGUGAAGAAGCCAUUUGGUCGUGCUUCAUCCACAUCAUCUUCAAAAAUGUAUAUCCAGUCAGGCAUUGAAAAGGAAAACAUUAUUCAUUCUCUCUCCA